UUCCAGACUUUGAUCAUGGCUCAGGACGAACGCUGGCGGCGUGCCUAACACAUGCAAGUCGAGCGGAGAUCAUUGGCGGAAGUUUUCGGAUGGAAGCGAAUGAUUUUAGCGGCGGACGGGUGAGUAACGCGUGAGCAACCUUUCCUUCACAGGGGGGAUAACGCACCGAAAGGUGCACUAAUACCGCAUGAGACCACAGAGUCACAUGACUUAGGGGUCAAAGGAGCAAUCCGGUGAAGGGUGGGCUCGCGUCUGAUUAGAUAGUUGGUGAGGUAACGGCCCACCAAGUCAACGAUCAGUAGCCGACCUGAGAGGGUGAUCGGCCACAUUGGGACUGAGACACGGCCCAAACUCCUACGGGAGGCAGCAGUGGGGAAUAUUGGGCAAUGGGCGAAAGCCUGACCCAGCAACGCCGCGUGGAGGAAGAAGGUUUUCGGAUCGUAAACUCCUGUCCUAAGAGACGAGGAAGAGACGGUAUCUUAGGAGGAAGCCCCGGCUAACUACGUGCCAGCAGCCGCGGUAAUACGUAGGGGGCAAGCGUUGUCCGGAAUGAUUGGGCGUAAAGGGCGCGUAGGCGGCCCGGUAAGUCUGGAGUGAAAGUCCUGGCUUUAAGUUGGGAAUUGCUUUGGAUACUGUCGGGCUUGAGUGCAGGAGAGGUUAGUGGAAUUCCCAGUGUAGCGGUGAAAUGCGUAGAGAUUGGGAGGAACACCAGUGGCGAAGGCGACUAACUGGACUGUAACUGACGCUGAGGCGCGAAAGUGUGGGGAGCAAACAGGAUUAGAUACCCUGGUAGUCCACACUGUAAACGAUGAAUGCUAGGUGUAGGGGGUAUCGACCCCUUCUGUGCCGGAGUUAACACAAUAGCAUUCCGCCUGGGGAGUACGGCCGCAAGGUUGCAACUCAAAUGAAUUGACGGA
rnacentral:rRNA from 1 species